rnacentral:tRNA from 1 species
GGCGUAGCCAAGUGGUUAAGGCAGCGGACUUUGACUCCGCCAUUCGAAGGUUCAAAUCCUUCCGC